CCCCCACACCACUAGAUGUAUAUCUUCAACCACCAACUUACCAUCCGGAGACAAGGCCGAGUAUAGCCCACAAAGAUCUCCGCCACAGCACAACCCAAGGGGAGGCGCCAGGUGGGGUUGAUGGGGGAAGCUGGACCGUCAGGCUUGUCUGGAUUGGAAGGUGUUCCAGGUCCUUUUGGAUUGGCUGGGGCUGAUGGACCACAAGGGCAGAAGGGGGACAAAGGCCCUUAUGGUGUGGUUGGGGAUUCUGGAAACGCAGGCCUUAAGGGCGUGUCAGGAAGAAGAGGAUUGAAGGGUGACAUGGGAAAAUCUGGACCAAAGGAGAACAGCUGUUACAUGAUGCUCAGUAGUAAGUCUGUCAGUAAGACUUUCUGAAUGGCUAUGUUGUGUCCAGGGGCCAGAGGGUCUGCUGGGCAACAGAGGGCCCAAAGCGUCCCCUGGAUUGGAGGGUGUGUCUGGUGAGGCUGGGCCUCAAGGAGCAGUUGGCCUACCAGGACCUCUGGGACCAAAAGGUCGACCAGGCCCUGAGGGGAGACAAGGCCAGAAAGGUCAAAAGGGCAAUGAUGGUCGAAGUGGGAAUCCAGGAAAGACGGGACACAUCGGGAGGAGGGUCAAAAUGAAGCCAUCCCUUUUUCACAUAUUACAAUUUCUCAUUUCAAUGUAUAUGGAUCUUGAUUCUUCAUUCUAAAAGCUGUUUUUGUUACCAUGUAAGGGGAAAAUAGUGAAAUCUGGAAGCAGAGGCUGAAGAGGAGGGAGAGGAGAAAAGGUAAUCACUACUGACUGGGACACUUGGCAUACAAGGAGAGAAGGGUGAAAUGGGUGAACCAGGAGUCGAGGGAGAGAUGGGACGGACAGGCCCUCCUGCAGUUCAGGGGCUGAAGGGGACACAAGGCCCUUUGGGAGAGCCAGGGAGAGAUGGCAUUAACUUCUUCGAUAUAGGGGGCGAGGAGAACAGGGAGACAUUGGUCCUCAUGGGGGGUGGAGGACCCCAGGUCUAACUGGACUUCCUGUGACUUUCAGUGAUAUGCUAUUGCUAUUUCCUUUACUUUUCUAAAAAUAAAGUAGGAUUUUUAUACAGAGAAUAAUUCAAUUCUAACAUGAUUCCUUUUCUCUGUCUAUAGGGUUUGUUUGGACAAAUGGUAUAUUACUCUAAAUAAAAAUACCCGCAUGUGUUUUUUUUUUUUAAUGCUUACCUUGAUGUGUUCUGUACAUUUAUUAUGUGGAGAUUGGUGGAUUGACUGAGGGCACUGACUAAAUGGACUAUUCACCUGAAUAUCAGGGUCUAAAAGGAUUUGCCCGAAAAUCAGGUCCUGUUGGAGUGUGAGGCCUGCCUGGUCUCCCUGGACCUUCUGGCCCCCCUGGAACCUCUCUGAACCUUACUCUGGCACAGAUCAAGGCA